CACACCAAUUUCUACCAUAACGUUUUAUUGAAAGAAAUUCAAAUAUCAGCAUCUCACACACUCUACUCUUACACGUAAGUAAAGAAAAAGAUAAAAAAAUACAUAUAAUGGUGUUAACACACCUUUUUAUUUCUUUCAAUCAUAAGCAACAUAGUGGUAGAAUAUUGUAACAUAACCGUGAAGCAUAGUAUCACAUGUAACCAUCUUUAAGUGACUUGAUGAUUUGAGUCCUGAACAAUCCAUGUAAAAUUCGUUAGUCUUUUUAUUCUCUCUUAAAUUUCUUAUGAUAAAUUAUAUCAUCCACAAGUAUUUCUAUAAAUAGAAAGGUAGAAAAAUAAAGUAAAUAAAUAAAGAAGAAUAUAUAUAUAUAUAUAUAUAUAUAUAUAUAUAUAUAUAUAUAUAUAUAUAUAUCUUUAAACUUUAGGCAUGUAAUUAUUGUAAUAAAUAAAUAAAAAAUCUAAAUCAAUAGUAAAUCGAAUGAAUUCUACUAAUUUAAUUUCAUAAUAAAUAACUUCAGUGAACAUAAUAACAAAAUUAUAAAAGAUAAUACUUAAGUUAUACCUCGAAAUGCAAAUUAUUUGGCAUAUUCUUCUAUUAGUGGUGGAGAAGUGGGUGGCUUCGACUCCUAUAUUAAAAAUGGUUAGCAAUUUUCUUUUUAAUAUAUAUUGAUAUUUGAGUUAUUAUUCACAUACAUUUUUCUCUUCAGAAGUUGAUAGAUUCUUCUCUGCUUGUGUUGAUGACGAGGUUGAAAUAUUAUCAUUUUCUUUCCUAUAAAAGAAAACUUAAUAAUUUCUUAUAAUAACUAAUAUUUGAAUUAUUAACAACUUACUCAUUCACUUUGACAUUGAAAGUACUUGAAUCUUCCUUCGGACUUUGAGUUGGUGGUAGAAGAUUGAGUGAUUUCGAAUCCUAUUAAAAAGAAUUAGUAAUUUGCUUUUAUAUAUAAUUUAUAUUUGAGUUAUUAGAAACCUACUUUUAGAUCAUCUAUUUCCCAUGGUGAAACAUUUGUAUCAGGUGGUGAUGGAGGGGGAGGAGGAUGAGGAUCAGGAUGAGGAUCGCUUCCACUCCUAUUAAAAAAAAGAGUUAAAUAUGUUUUUAGUUCCUAUAUUUUGGGAUGAUUUUAGUUUUAGUCUAUUUUUAAACUAUGAUACAAUUUAGUCCUUCAACUUUGGAAAACUCUGGUUUUAGUCUUUUUUACCAAUUUUUUUUAAUUUUAUUUAUUGUUUUAAACACGUUUCUUAGUUAAAAAAAUUGGUAAAAACAAUUGGUAAAAAAGACUAAAAAAAAUAAAAGGUCAAAUUUUUACAUAAGCUCUUUUUCAAUCAACUAACUAAUUAUCUUAUUAAUUUUUUCCAAUAAAUUUAAAAAGUUAUCUAUUCAAUAAAUAUAUAUAUAUAUAUAUAUAUAUAUAUAUAUAUAUAUAUAUAUAUAUAUAUAUAUAUAUGUAUGUAUAUAUAUAAACUCAAUCAUCGAUCAAAUUUAAAGUCUAGAUAUUUUUAUAGUAGAUACUUGUAAGCUAAUAUAUGAAGUUAUUGUUUUGAGAAAUUACUUUAUUCAAUUCAAAAAAUAUUUAUGCAAUACAUUAAAAAGAACAAAAAAAUGUUUAAAUAAAUAAUAUCAAAAAUACCUAAUAACAUAAAUAUAAUAAAUGUUUUAGAUAUUAGUAAUGACAUACAUACAUUUGUAUUUUUAUACUGGAAUUUCGUAUUAAUGCAGUGUUGAUGAGGUGGCCCUCUGUGAAGAUCACUUCGAAUCCUUCGCACAAAAAGAAAAAUAGGACAAUAAUAUGUCAUUAUAUGACAAGAUAAAAUAUGCAUUACCAAUAAAAAGUAACAUACAUGAUUGAAAUAUUAAUUAAAAUCAUUUUAUUUAAUUUAUUGAAAAUAUUAACCAUAAAUAAAAUCACCUUAUACAUACAUGAUUGUUUGCUUGAAAUUUAACUGCGAGUUUAGUUUCAUAAUAUAAUAAAAAUAAGAAAAUUGAAUAUAAAAUAAUGAACAAAAUUUUUUAAAAAUAUAAUCUCUUAUCAACUUACGUUUUAGUGAUGUUAUAUUAUAUUUAUUUAGUUAUGUUUGUAUGAAACUAAAACUUAUAAUUGGGAUUCUCCACAAUGAUAAACUAAUAUAUAUAUAUAUAUAUAUAUAUUAGAUAUACGUGGGUUAUGCACUCACAACGCUUCUAUUGCGACUAAUAUUAUGUUAGAAGUGAAUUUUAAGUUUAAUUAACUCAUAUUAAUUAGAGAUAGAAGAAUUUAGUAUAUAUAAAUAGAUACAAAUCUUAUUUUACAAAUCGGUUUUAUAGAAGUUAAAUUAAAGUUGAAGUUUACUUCUAACCAUAUAUAUGACUGAAAUUUAAAAUUAGAAUACAAACAGUAGAAACGAAACUCUACUAAGCAAUAUCUAGCACUAAUAUUGAGCAUCUCAGAACCAAUGCUCAGUAUACGCUCAAACCUAGGAUUCUAAGAGUAUGAAAGAAGAUGAAAGCAAAUAAAAGCACGACAAUCAGACAUAAAAAAAAAAUAUCAUUGCAUCAAUGGAUUUAGAAAAUAUAUUAUAAAAUCUCAUCUCAUACUUAUUAUUAUAAUGGGUACAUUUAGAAUGAUCAUAGUAUAUUUUGUAUUUAUUGUAAAAAUUUUAUCACUGACAGAUGGAUUAAAACUGAUAUAUAAAUCAUCAUAAAAUUAUAGGUUUUCACUAGUGAUUUGUAUAGUAUAGAUUGUGGUCGAGUUUAAAUUAUAACUUUUUUUUUUUUUAUAAAUAUAUGUAUUUGAUUUUAAUUUUUUUUUUUAACGAGAGAGUUUACGUUAUACAAUGAUAAAUAAUUUCACCUUUUAUUUCAUUAUUAAUUAAUAUUUGUUUAUUUCAACAUUUUCAAUAUUAUAUAAUAUUAAAUAAUUUAUUUACAUAGUACAAACAUCAUUUUUUAUACAUAAUGAAACUAGAAUAAAAUACAAAAGUCCCAUCUACUAGAAUAAAAGACAAAUAAAGAACCCAAGUAAUUAUUUUGUUUUAACAUUAUUUUUCCUCACAACUAAUAAUGUAAAUUCCAUAUUAUCAAGAGGCAUGAACUAAUACAAACAUGUUAAUUAGGUUUUCUUCUCAAAUGUAAAAGGAAAAACUUCUUUUAACAACACUUUUUUAACAACUUUUUGACAACGCAUACGUAGCAGUUUGUGAUUCUGUUUUAAAUAUUUUUUAAACAUAAAUUCAAAUAGACCAAUAAAAUGAUGACACGUGUUCCGUUGUCAAAAAAAUUGUCAAAAAAUGUUAUCAAAAUAUCAUUGUCCAAUGUAAAAACAUAUCAGCACUGAUUCAAGAAUAUUACCUUAUGAAAGAAUUGGGAAAAUGAUGAAUGGAACACACUCUAGAAAAGCCAAAUUUAGAAAAAAAGUUCUAAAAUCUUUCUGAGUUUGAUUG
rnacentral:lncRNA from 1 species